GGGAAAAUAGUUCAGCGGUAAGAAUAUUGGUUUCCAAAACCAAAGAACAAGGGUUCAAAUCCCUUUUUUCCUG
rnacentral:tRNA from 1 species